AACGCACAUUGCGCCCGCCAGUAUUCUGGCGGGCAUGCCUGUCCGAGCGUCACUUCAACCCUCGAGCCCCCCCGGGGGAUCGGUGUUGGGGACCGGCCCGCUGCCACAGCGGCUGCCGCCCCCGAAAUACAGUGGCGGUCUCCCCGCAGCCUCCUGUGCGCAGUAGCUUUGCAAAACUCGCAUGGCGGAGCGCGGUGCGGCCACAGCCGUUAAACCCCCCCAAGAUCUAUCAAUGGUUGACCUCGGAUCAGGUAGGAAUACCCGCUGAACUUAA
rnacentral:misc_RNA from 1 species